rnacentral:tRNA from 1 species
AAGAAAGUGGCAGAGGGGUUUUGUGCUUGGCUUGAAACCAAGUCACGGGGGUUCGAUUCCCUCCUUUCUCG